UGUUUCGGCUAGGGGGCCAUCCCGGCUUACCAACCCGAUGCAAACUGCGAAUACCGGAGAAUGUUAUCACGGGAGACACACGGCGGGUGCUAACGUCCGUCGUGAAGAGGGAAACAACCCAGACCGCCAGCUAAGGUCCCAAAGUCAUGGUUAAGUGGGAAACGAUGUGGGAAGGCCCAGACAGCCAGGAUGUUGGCUUAGAAGCAGCCAUCAUUUAAAGAAAGCGUAAUAGCUCACUGGUCGAGUCGGCCUGCGCGGAAGAUGUAACGGGGCUAAACCAUGCACCGAAGCUGCGGCAGCGACGCUGAUGCGUUGUUGGGUAGGGGAGCGUUCUGUAAGCCUGUGAAGGUGGCCUGUGAGGGUUGCUGGAGGUAUCAGAAGUGCGAAUGCUGACAUAAGUAACGAUAAAGCGGGUGAAAAGCCCGCUCGCCGGAAGACCAAGGGUUCCUGUCCAACGUUAAUCGGGGCAGGGUGAGUCGACCCCUAAGGCGAGGCCGAAAGGCGUAGUCGAUGGGAAACGGGUUAAUAUUCCCGUACUUGGUGUUACUGCGAAGGGGGGACGGAGAAGGCUAUGUUGGCCGGGCGACGGUUGUCCCGGUUUAAGCGUGUAGGUGUGUGUUCCAGGUAAAUCCGGUUCACUUUAACACUGAGGCGUGAUGACGAGGCACUACGGUGCUGAAGCAACAAAUGCCCUGCUUCCAGGAAAAGCCUCUAAGCAUCAGGUAACAUCAAAUCGUACCCCAAACCGACACAGGUGGUCAGGUAGAGAAUACCAAGGCGCUUGAGAGAACUCGGGUGAAGGAACUAGGCAAAAUGGUGCCGUAACUUCGGGAGAAGGCACGCUGACACGUAGGUGAAGUGAUUUACUCAUGGAGCUGAAGUCAGUCGAAGAUACCAGCUGGCUGCAACUGUUUAUUAAAAACACAGCACUGUGCAAACACGAAAGUGGACGUAUACGGUGUGACGCCUGCCCGGUGCCGGAAGGUUAAUUGAUGGGGUCAGCGCAAGCGAAGCUCCUGAUCGAAGCCCCGGUAAACGGCGGCCGUAACUAUAACGGUCCUAAGGUAGCGAAAUUCCUUGUCGGGUAAGUUCCGACCUGCACGAAUGGCGUAAUGAUGGCCAGGCUGUCUCCACCCGAGACUCAGUGAAAUUGAACUCGCUGUGAAGAUGCAGUGUACCCGCGGCAAGACGGAAAGACCCCGUGAACCUUUACUAUAGCUUGACACUGAACAUUGAGCCUUGAUGUGUAGGAUAGGUGGGAGGCUUUGAAGUGUGGACGCCAGUCUGCAUGGAGCCGACCUUGAAAUACCACCCUUUAAUGUUUGAUGUUCUAACGUGGACCCGUAAUCCGGGUUGCGGACAGUGUCUGGUGGGUAGUUUGACUGGGGCGGUCUCCUCCUAAAGAGUAACGGAGGAGCACGAAGGUUGGCUAAUCCUGGUCGGACAUCAGGAGGUUAGUGCAAUGGCAUAAGCCAGCUUGACUGCGAGCGUGACGGCGCGAGCAGGUGCGAAAGCAGGUCAUAGUGAUCCGGUGGUUCUGAAUGGAAGGGCCAUCGCUCAACGGAUAAAAGGUACUCCGGGGAUAACAGGCUGAUACCGCCCAAGAGUUCAUAUCGACGGCGGUGUUUGGCACCUCGAUGUCGGCUCAUCACAUCCUGGGGCUGAAGUAGGUCCCAAGGGUAUGGCUGUUCGCCAUUUAAAGUGGUACGCGAGCUGGGUUUAGAACGUCGUGAGACAGUUCGGUCCCUAUCUGCCGUGGGCGCUGGAGAACUGAGGGGGGCUGCUCCUAGUACGAGAGGACCGGAGUGGACGCAUCACUGGUGUUCGGGUUGUCAUGCCAAUGGCACUGCCCGGUAGCUAAAUGCGGAAGAGAUAAGUGCUGAAAGCAUCUAAGCACGAAACUUGCCCCGA
rnacentral:rRNA from 1 species